rnacentral:rRNA from 1 species
UACAGGGGGGGCAAGCGUUGUUCGGAAUUACUGGGCGUAAAGGGCGCGUAGGCGGUCAGCACAAGUCAGUUGUGAAAUCUCCGGGCUUAACUCGGAAAGGUCAACUGAUACUGUGCGACUAGAGUGCGGAAGGGGCAACUGGAAUUCUCGGUGUAGCGGUGAAAUGCGUAGAUAUCGAGAGGAACACCUGCGGCGAAGGCGGGUUGCUGGGCCGACACUGACGCUGAUGCGCGAAAGCCAGGGGAGCGAACGGG